rnacentral:rRNA from 1 species
UACGUAGGGUCCGAGCGUUGUCCGGAAUUACUGGGCGUAAAGAGCUCGUAGGCGGUUUGUCGCGUUGUUCGUGAAAACUCACAGCUUAACUGUGGGCGUGCGGGCGAUACGGGCAGGCUGGAGUACUGCAGGGGAGACUGGAAUUCCUGGUGUAGCGGUGGAAUGCGCAGAUAUCAGGAGGAACACCGGUGGCGAAGGCGGGUCUCUGGGCAGUAACUGACGCUGAGGAGCGAAAGCGUGGGGAGCGAACAGG